rnacentral:rRNA from 1 species
UAGUCAUAUGCUUGUCUUAAAGACUAAGCCAUGCAUGUCUAAGUACAAGUAUUAUACAGCGAAACUGCGAAUGGCUCAUUAAAACAGUUAUAGUUUAUUCGAUUAUUUUCUCCUACAUGGAUAACCGUAGUAAUUCUAGAGCUAAUACAUGCUGUCAAACCUGACUUUUGUGGAAGGGUUGUAUUUAUUAGAUAUAAAACCAAUACCCGCAAGGGUUUUGUGAUGAUUCAUAAUAACUGAACGGACCGCGGCCGUGCUGCGGCGAAUCGAUCAAGUUUCUGCCCUAUCAGCUUUCGAUGGUAGUGUAUUGGACUACCAUGGCGAUCACGGGUAACGGGGAAUUAGGGUUCGAUUCCGGAGAGGGAGCCUGAGAAAUGGCUACCACAUCUAAGGAAGGCAGCAGGCGCGUAAAUCACCCAAUCCUAAUUCAGGGAGGUAGUGACAAGAAAUAACAACUCGGACCUCACUCGAGGUUACGAGAUUGCAAUGAGAACAAUUUAAACCUCUUAUCGAGUAACAAUU